rnacentral:rRNA from 1 species
AUUGAACGCUGGCGGCAGGCUUAACACAUGCAAGUCGAGCGAGCGGCGGACGGGUGAGUAAUGUCUGGGAAACUGCCUGAUGGAGGGGGAUAACUACUGGAAACGGUAGCUAAUACCGCAUACCAUCAGAUGUGCCCAGAUGGGAUUAGCUAGUAGGGGGGGUAAUGGCUCACCUAGGCGACGAUCCCUAGCUGGUCUGAGAGGAUGACGAGGCACACUGGAACUGAGGGACGGGCCAGACUGCUACGGGAGGCAGCAGUGGCGAAUAUUGCACAAUGGGCGCAAGCCUGAUGCAGCCAUGCCGCGUGUAUGAAGAAGGCGUUCGGGUUGUAAAGUACUUUAAGCGGGGAGGCGUUACCCGGAGAAGAAGCACCGGCUAACUCCGUGCCAGCAGCCGCGGUAAUAC